rnacentral:rRNA from 1 species
GACGAACGCUGGCGGCGUGCUUAACACAUGCAAGUCGAACGGAAAGGCCCUGCUUUUGUGGGGUGCUCGAGUGGCGAACGGGUGAGUAACACGUGAGUAACCUGCCCUUGACUUUGGGAUAACUUCAGGAAACUGGGGCUAAUACCGGAUAGGAGCUCCUGCUGCAUGGUGGGGGUUGGAAAGUUUCGGCGGUUGGGGAUGGACUCGCGGCUUAUCAGCUUGUUGGUGGGGUAGUGGCUUACCAAGGCUUUGACGGGUAGCCGGCCUGAGAGGGGGACCGGCCACAUUGGGACUGAGAUACGGCGCAGAAUCCUACGGGAGGCAGCAGUGGGGAAUAUUGCACAAUGGGCGGAAGCCUGAUGCAGCAACGCCGCGUGCGGGAUGACGGCCUUCGGGUUGUAAACAGAUGUCGCCUGUGACGAAGCGUGAGUGACGGUAAUGGGUAAAGAAGCACCGGCUAACUACGUG